rnacentral:rRNA from 1 species
GAUGGACGCUGGCGGCGUGCCUAACACAUGCAAGUCGAGCGGCAGCGAGGGGUGCUUGCACCCUGUCGGCGAGCGGCGGACGGCUGAGUAACGCGUGGGAACGUGCCCCAAAGUGAGGAAUAACUGCCCGAAAGGGUAGCUAAUACCGCAUAUUAUCUUCGGAUCAAAGGAUUUAUCCGCUUUGGGAGCGGCUCGCGUCGGAUUAGGUAGUUGGUGAGGUAAUGGCUCACCAAGCCGACGAUCCGUAGCUGGUCUGAGAGGAUGACCAGCCAGACUGGAACUGAGACACGGUCCAGACUCCUACGGGAGGCAGCAGUGAGGAAUCUUCCACAAUGGGCGAAAGCCUGAUGGAGCAACGCCGCGUGCAGGACGAAGGCCUUCGGGUUGUAAACUGCUUUUAUAAGUGAGGAAUAUGACGGUAACUUAUGAAUAAGGAUCGGCUAACUACGUG